rnacentral:lncRNA from 1 species
UGUUUGUUUUUUGAGAUGGAGUCUUUUUCUGUCACCCAGGCUGGAGUGCAGUGGUGCGAUCUUGGCUCACUGCAACCUCUGCCUCUCAGGUUCAAGCGAUUCUCCUGCCUCAUACUCCUGAGUAGCUGGGAUUACAGGUGUCUGCCACCAUGCCUGGCUAAUUUUUGUAUUUUUAAUAGAGAUGAGGUUUCACCAUGUUGGCCAGGCUAGUCUCAAACUCCUGACCUCAAGUGAUCCGCCC